rnacentral:tRNA from 1 species
GUCCGUAGCUCAGUUGGUUAGAGCACCACCUUGACAUGGUGGGGGUCGGUGGUUCGAGUCCACUCGGACGCACCA